AAUAGAUACCCUGGUAGUCCAUGCCGUAAACGAUGUCUACUAGCCGUUGGGGCCCUUGAGGCUUUAGUGGCGCAGCUAACGCGAUAAGUAGACCGCCUGGGGAGUACGGUCGCAAGACUAAAACUCAAAUGAAUUGACGGGGGCCCGCACAAGCGGUGGAGCAUGUGGUUUAAUUCGAUGCAACGCGAAGAACCCUACCUGGCCUUGACAUACAGAGAACUUUCCAGAGAUGGAUUGGUGCCUUCGGGAACUCUGAUACAGGUGCUGCAUGGCUGUCGUCAGCUCGUGUCGUGAGAUGUUGGGUUAAGUCCCGCAACGAGCGCAACCCUUUUCCUUAUUUGCCAGCACUUCGGGUGGGAACUUUAAGGAUACUGCCAGUGACAAACUGGAGGAAGGCGGGGACGACGUCAAGUCAUCAUGGCCCUUACGGCCAGGGCUACACACGUGCUACAAUGGUCGGUACAAAGGGUUGCUACUGCGCGAGCAGAUGCUAAUCUCAAAAAGCCGAUCGUAGUCCGGAUCGC
rnacentral:rRNA from 1 species